rnacentral:rRNA from 1 species
AGUGAACGCUGGCGGUAGGCCUAACACAUGCAAGUCGAACGGCAGCACAGUAAGAGCUUGCUCUUACGGGUGGCGAGUGGCGGACGGGUGAGGAAUACAUCGGAAUCUACUUUUUCGUGGGGGAUAACGUAGGGAAACUUACGCUAAUACCGCAUACGACCUACGGGUGAAAGCAGGGGAUCUUCGGACCUUGCGCGAUUGAAUGAGCCGAUGUCGGAUUAGCUAGUUGGCGGGGUAAAGGCCCACCAAGGCGACGAUCCGUAGCUGGUCUGAGAGGAUGAUCAGCCACACUGGAACUGAGACACGGUCCAGACUCCUACGGGAGGCAGCAGUGGGGAAUAUUGGACAAGGGGCGCAAGCCUGAUCCAGCCAUACCGCGUGGGUGAAGAAGGCCUUCGGGUUGUAAAGCCCUUUUGUUGGGAAAGAAAAGCAGCAGGUUAAUACCCCGCUGUUCUGACGGUACCAAAAGAAUAAGCACCGGCUAACUUCG